rnacentral:rRNA from 1 species
GACGAACGCUGGCGGCGUGCUUAACACAUGCAAGUCGAACGGAAAGGCCCUGCUUUUGUGGGGUGCUCGAGUGGCGAACGGGUGAGUAACACGUGAGUAACCUGCCCUUGACUUUGGGAUAACUUCAGGAAACUGGGGCUAAUACCGGAUAGGAGCUCCUGCUGCAUGGUGGGGGUUGGAAAGUUUCGGCGGUUGGGGAUGGACUCGCGGCUUAUCAGCUUGUUGGUGGGGUAGCGGCUUACCAAGGCUUUGACGGGUAGCCGGCCUGAGAGGGUGACCGGCCACAUUGGGACUGAGAUACGGCCCAGACUCCUACGGGAGGCAGCAGUGGGGAAUAUUGCACAAUGGGCGGAAGCCUGAUGCAGCAACGCCGCGUGCGGGAUGACGGCCUUCGGGUUGUAGACCGCCUUCGCCUGUGACGAAGCGUGAGUGACGGUAAUGGGUAAAGAAGCACCGGCUAACUACGUG